CUGGUCCAAAUCACAGAGGGAUACAUUAUAUAUUUCUAGCACAUACUUUUAUUUUAUUUUAUUUUUUUACAGUAAGCAAGCACAGUUAUUCAAUAAAGCCGUCCACAAUAAUGUCAUUCAUAAACAGCAGUAUGUAGUCACUAUUUGGCAGACAGGAUCUUCUUGUGUUCGUUAUUAGUCACAUAGUAACACAAAUAUUAUGUUCAGUUACA